UACAGAGGGUGCAAGCGUUAAUCGGAAUUACUGGGCGUAAAGCGUGCGUAGACGGUUGCGUAAGUCAGAUGUGAAAGCCCUGGGCUCAACCUGGGAAUGGCAUUGGAUACUGGCAGGCUAGAGUGCGGUAGAGGAUGGCGGAAUUCCCGGUGUAGCAGUGAAAUGCGUAGAUAUCAAGCGGAACACCAGUGGCGAAGGCGAGUCCCUGGACAACUCCUGACACUGAGGCACGAAAGCUAGGGGAGCAAACAGG
rnacentral:rRNA from 1 species